AGCGGCAGACGGGUGAGUAACACGUAGGUAACCUACCCCAGAGACAGGGAUAACCCUAGGAAACGAGGGCUAAUACCGGAUGACCUCCGGAAGGAGGAAAGGCUCAGGCGCUCUGGGAGGGGCUUGCGGCCCAUCAGCUAGUUGGUAGGGUAAAGGCCUACCAAGGCGAAGACGGGUAGGGGGUGUGAGAGCACGGCCCCCCACAAUGGGACUGAAACACGGCCCAUACUCCUACGGGAGGCAGCAGCAGGGAAUAUUGCACAAUAGGCGAAAGCCUGAUGCAGCGACGCCGCGUGAGUGAAGAAGGCCUUCGGGUCGUAAAGCUCUUUUGUAGGGGAAGAGGAAGGACGGUACCCUAAGAAGAAGCGUCGGCUAACUACGUGCCAGCAGCCGCGGUAAGACGUAGGACGCGAGCGUUAUCCGGAAUUACUGGGCGUAAAGGGCCAGCAGGCGGCUUGGUAAGUUGUGCGUGAAAGCCUCGUGCUCAACGCGAGGAAGCCGGACAAUACUGUCAAGCUAGAGGGCAUCAGAGGGGAGUGGAAUUCCCGGAGUAGCGGUAAAAAUGCGCAGAUAUCGGGAGGAACACCGAUGGCGAAGGCAGCUCCCUGGGAUGCACCUGACGCUAAGAGGCGAAAGCUAGGGGAGCGAACAGGAUUAGAGACCCUGGUAGUCCUAGCUGUAAACGCUGGGUGCUAGGUGUGAGACACAGAAGUUCCGGGCCGGAGCACACGCGAUAAGCACCCCGCGUGGGUAUCGCGCUCACGAGGCUAACACUCACACGUUUCGACGGGCCCCCACACAAGCAGAGGAGCGUGUGGAACAAUGAGAUGCUACACGAAGAACCCACGCGGGGUAACACAUGCACGUGGUACGAAGGCGACAGCAUGAGGACCCUGCGGGGAGCACACACAGGUGCUGCAUGGCUGUCGACAGCUCGCCCCGUGAGGUCGCGGGUUAAGUCCGGUAAGGAGCGCAACCCUCGCCGUAAGUAACAAGUGUCUAAGGGAACUGCCGGCGGGAAGCCGGAGGAAGGUGGGGAUGACGUCAAGUCAGCAUGGCCCUUAUGUCCAGGGCGACACACACG
rnacentral:rRNA from 1 species